AUUGAACGCUGGCGGCAUGCCUUACACAUGCAAGUCGAACGGCAGCACGGGUGCUUGCACCUGGUGGCGAGUGGCGAACGGGUGAGUAAUACAUCGGAACAUGUCCUGUAGUGGGGGAUAGCCCGGCGAAAGCCGGAUUAAUACCGCAUACGAUCCACGGAUGAAAGCGGGGGCCCUUCGGGCCUCGCGCUAUAGGGUUGGCCGAUGGCUGAUUAGCUAGUUUGUGGGGUAAAGGCCUACCAAGGCGACGAUCAGUAGCUGGUCUGAGAGGACGACCAGCCACACUGGGACUGAGACACGGCCCAGACUCCUACGGGAGGCAGCAGUGGGGAAUUUUGGACAAUGGGCGAAAGCCUGAUCCAGCAAUGCCGCGUGUGUGAAGAAGGCCUUCGGGUUGUAAAGCACUUUUGUCCGGAAAGAAAUCCUUGGCUCUAAUACAGUCGGGGGAUGACGGUACCGGAAGAAUAAGCACCGGCUAACUACGUG
rnacentral:rRNA from 1 species